UACAGACUGACUAGUCAUAAGGCAGGAUCUGUAACAACGGAACUGGGCUGUGUAGGCAGCCAUCUUGGGUGUCAUGUGGACAGAGGUACAGCAAAAGCCAAAGAAAGGAAACAAAGCUGUCCCAGUGAGGUGACAUCGCUGAGGAGAGACAUCGGGAAGGGUCAUUCCAUAUCCACCUCCUGUGCAUCCGACACUAUAUGUACACUGGGGACACAAGUCAGGGCUCCAGCUCCUGCGAAGUUUACGGUCUGGUUACAAAAUGUCAGAUUUGCAGCCGAUUCACCUGCCUCGUGAAUACCUCCACGGUGCGAUUCACAAGGAUCCCAAACUCAUCAUCCAACCUGAAGCUGAACAUCCAAACUUCUUCCUCCCAAGCUGUUCCCGUCCAGCAUUCCCAUUGCCUAAGAGCCCCAUCAGCCCCUGCAAUUGCUGAAGCCACAAAGUUGGGGUCAUCCUUGAUUCCUCCUUCCCCUCAUAAGCAGUUUCUGUGGCCUUCACCUUGAUCUUGACCUUCAUCAUGUCUCUCCAUCCCCAGUGCCGUUUGCCUAUUUUAAGCCACUAUCAGUGCCCCCUGGAUUUUGGCAACAGCCCCUUAACUGGUCUCUCUGGCUGCAGCUUCUCCCUCCAUUAUUCAGGUUGUAGCCAAUGUAAUCUUUCUAAAACACACACUUGAACCUUACUCUCAGGCUUCUAAUUCUUCAAAGGCUUCCUAUUGAUCUUCGAAAAAUGUCCAAUCUCCUUGGCAUAGUUUACUGCAUCCUUUGUAAUCUGACCCGUUUACCUCUUCAGCCCCAUCUUUUGGGAUUCCCUGAUCCAGACUUCUACAAAAUGGACCUACUUUGUGUCCACACUGUGUAUGUGUGUGUGUAUCAAGGUCUAAACUUUUCCAAGCAGUGCCCUCUGCCUGGAACAAUUUCUCCUCCCUUUUUUCCUAGCUCACCAUUCCUCAUGCUUCAAGGCUCUCCUUAGCUGUCACAUUUAGCAAUGUCCUUUCCCACCCUCGGUGGUUUACACUGUGGUGACCUCCACGAGUCUCCCCAGCAACUAUCCUGCCUGUUCACACUCGUCACCUCAAAGGGCCUUUUUUUUUAAGUGUUUAUUUACUUUUGAGAGAGAGAGAGCAUGAGAGCAGGGGAAGGGCAGAGAGAGAGAGGGACAGAGGAUCCGAAGCAGGCUCUACUGAACCACCGAGGUGCCCCCAAAGAGCCUUUUUUUUAAUGUCCUGCCUGUUACCCACACUGGACACAAAAUCCCUGAGAUCAGGAAUUCUGUCUUGUUCCCUGCUGGAACUUCAACCUGAAAAGGCGGUAGAUGCUUAAUAAAUUGUCGACGGACGGAUGCA